GACAGGCUAGUCGGGGAAAACGUGUGGUAUGCAUGCACUCACUUUCACCCCCUCCUCCAUCUAUCUUAACUCAUUUUCCCUAUUUUCACACAGAUAAAUUAAAAGAAAACCAAAAACCCAGUUUCCAAGACACUAAAGAAGCAAGAACCAAAGGUACACAGCAGGAAACUAAAAGAAUUACUUGAAGUAUGGAGAAUGGAGCGGUGAAUGGUUAUGAAAUGGAGACACCUAAAAACAUUACCAUCAAAGGAAUUCGCAGUUUGUUAAUGGGUGACCCUACUGCUCAUUCUUGCUUUCACACUUGCUCAAGAAGCUGUUGUUGAUGCUCUUCAAUCUGAUAAUUUCAAUGGUUAUGCACCUACAGUAGGCCUUCCUCAAAUAAGAAGGUUUCUUGAGAAGAGGUUGUAGAAGAGUUUUGCAGAGAAGAUUGAAAAGAAUUCUUUUGUAUUUUUUCUACUGUUUUAUCAGUGCAGGAAUUCUGCUUUUAUACAAAUUGUAUGCAGUUAAUAACAAAAUCUUAGAUUUUAGGAAUCAAAUUCAUCUCAACCAUUCAUCAAUUGAGGGCUACGAUUCUUACACAUGCAAGCAACGGUUUGUAACAGAAAGUAAUAGAAAAAACCAAAUAUAACUGCCAUAACUGUUUUAACUGUUUUUUUUCCUGCUUUAAUAGAAACUUCUUCCAUUUCUUCA